rnacentral:rRNA from 1 species
GAUGAACGCUGGCGGCAUGCCUAACACAUGCAAGUCGAUCGGUAAGGCUCUUCGGAGUACACGAGAGGCGGACGGCUGAGUAACGCGUAGGAACACACCCUGCAGUGAGGGAUAAGACACCGAAAGGUGUUCUAAUACCGCAUACGGUCUUCGGAUUAAAGCAUUUAUGCGCUGAAGGAGUGGCCUGCGUCAUAUUAGAUAGUUGGUGAGGUAAUGGCUCACCAAGUCGAUGAUGUGUAGCUGGUCUGAGAGGAUGAUCAGCCAGACUGGAACUGAGACACGGUCCAGACUCCUACGGGAGGCAGCAGUGAGGAAUAUUUCACAAUGAGCGAAAGCUUGAUGGAGCAAUGCCGCGUGCAGGAUGAAGGCCCUAGGGUUGUAAACUGCUUUUAUAAGAGAAGAUUAUGACGGUAACUGAUGAAUAAGGGACGGCUAACUACGUG